UACGUAGGUGGCAAGCGUUGUUCGGAAUUAUUGGGCGUAAAGGGCGCGUAGGCGGUUUGCUAAGUCAGUUGUGAAAGCCCGGGGCUCAACCCCGGAGGGUCGGCUGAUACUGGUGGACUAGAGUACGGAAGAGGUAGCUGGAAUUCCCGGUGUAGCGGUGAAAUGCGUAGAGAUCGGGAGGAACACCAGUGGCGAAGGCGGCCUUCUGGACCAAUACUGACGCUCAUGCACGAAAGCGUGGGGAGCAAACAGG
rnacentral:rRNA from 1 species